UACGUAGGGUGCGAGCGUUGUCCGGAAUUAUUGGGCGUAAAGGGCUCGUAGGCGGUUUGUCGCGUCGGGAGUGAAAACCUUGGGCUUAACUCAGGGCUUGCUUUCGAUACGGGCAGACUAGAGGUAUGCAGGGGAGAACGGAAUUCCUGGUGUAGCGGUGAAAUGCGCAGAUAUCAGGAGGAACACCGGUGGCGAAGGCGGCUCUCUGGACCGUAACUGACGCUGAGGCGCGAAAGCGUGGGGAGCAAACAGG
rnacentral:rRNA from 1 species